rnacentral:rRNA from 1 species
AGUGAAUAAUUAAACGGCCGCGGUACCCUAACCGUGCAAAGGUAGCAUAAUCAUUUGUCUAUUAAUUGUAGACUAGCAUGAAUGGCAAAAUGAGGGUUUAACUGUCUCUUAUGGCAUAUCAAUUAAACUGAUCUACUAGUAAAAAAGCUAGAAUACCAACACAAGACCAGAAGACCCUGUGAAGCUUAAACUAAACCAUUAAACCUAAUAAUAAUUACUUUUGGUUGGGGCGACCUUGGAAAAAACCAGAACUUCCAAAUACUAAUGACUUUAAACCAUACACAAGGCCCACAAGCCCAUAGACCCAGCACCGCUGAUUACUGAACCAAGUUACUCCAGGGAUAACAGCGCCAUCUUCUUCAAGAGCCCAUAUCAAAAAGAAGGCUUACGACCUCGAUGUUGGAUCAGGACAUCCCAA